rnacentral:rRNA from 1 species
UACGGAGGGUGCAAGCGUUAUCCGGAUUCACUGGGUUUAAAGGGUGCGUAGGUGGGCAGGUAAGUCAGUGGUGAAAUCUCCGGGCUUAACCCGGAAACUGCCAUUGAUACUAUCUGUCUUGAAUAUCGUGGAGGUGAGCGGAAUAUGUCGUGUAGCGGUGAAAUGCUUAGAUAUGACAUAGAACACCAAUUGCGAAGGCAGCUCACUACGCGAAUAUUGACACUGAGGCACGAAAGCGUGGGGAUCAAAC